rnacentral:rRNA from 1 species
AACGCGAAGAACCUUACCCGGGCUCGAACGGUGCAGUAAUAUGGUAGAGAUAUCAUAGCUAGCAAUAGACUGUAUCGAGGUGCUGCAUGGUUGUCGUCAGCUCGUGCCGUGAGGUGUCGGCUUAAGUGCCAUAACGAGCGCAACCCUUGNUCGUUAGUUACCAUCAAAUAAAGUUGGGGACUCUAGCGAGACUGCCACCGNUAAGGUGUGAGGAAGGGGGGGAUGACGUCAAAUCAGCACGGCCCUUACGUCCGGGGCGACACACGUGUUACAAUGGUAGGUACAGAGGGCCGCUACCCAGUGAUGGGGUGCCAAUCUCAAAAACCUAUCUCAGUUCGGAUCGGAGUCUGCAACUCGACUCCGUGAAGUUGGAUUCGCUAGUAAUCGCGCAUCAGCCAUGGCGCGGUGAAUACGUUCCCGGGUCUUGUACACACCG